rnacentral:tRNA from 1 species
ACUAUUUUGGCAGAAAAAUGUGAUGAUUUUAGAAUUCAUUGAUAUAUAAUUUAUUAUAUAGAUAGUA